AGAACGCUGAAAGGUCAGAAACCAGUGAGUUAGCUGAAAGGAUCGUAAAGAUGGACGCACAUGGCACGGAGGGGCUUGCAAGGGCGAAAAGCGCGGAGAGAACGCAGACAGGUCAGAAACCAGCGAAUUAGCUGAAAUGAUUGUAACGAUGGACGCACUCGGCAUGGAAGGGAGUUCAAGGGCGGCAACCUCGGACAGAACGCUGAAAGGCCAGAAACCAGCGAGUUAGCUGAAAAUGGCUAUAAUGUCAGCCGACGGGUAUGUGCCCGUAAAGUUGGAGAUGAAGAGGCAGGAGCAGGCAAUGAACACGGCACUUCCGUUGGCGCUAAGAGCGAUGCUGAACGGAAUCACGAAGCGCGCAAUCCGUCGGUCCGCUCCGAGCUUAACUUCGCAGGCGUGGAGCAUUUCCGGUAACACAACGGCGCUUUGAAGGCAGACGAAACGGAUUAAAGACAGACAGACGCCCUGUAGAAGUUAAUACACACGUGCUGGUGGCCGCGAAUGACGUCAGCAGAGCACGCGAUAUCGCUGCCAGGUGCUUAUAGGGGUUCCGCUUCGUCAGCGCCAGGUACAGAAUGGGC